rnacentral:rRNA from 1 species
AUACGGAGGACGCGAGCGUUAUCCGGAUUCAUUGGGUUUAAAGGGUGCGCAGGCGGCCGUGCAAGUCAGCGGUGAAAGCCCGGGGCUCAACCCCGGAAGUGCCGUUGAUACUGCAUGGCUGGAAUGCGGUCGAGGCGGGCGGAACGUGGCGUGUAGCGGUGAAAUGCGUAGAUAUGCCACAGAACGCCGAUAGCGGAGGCAGCUCGCCAGGCCUGCAUGGACGCUCGGGCACGAAAGCGUGGGGAUCGAACAGGAUUAGAUACCCUGGUAGUCCACGCCGUAAACGAUGGGCGCUCGUCGUCGGCGGCAGACAGUCGGCGGCCAAGCGAAAGCGAUAAGCGCCCCACCUGGGGAGUACGGUCGCAAGGCUGAA